rnacentral:rRNA from 1 species
ACUGCCUGAUGGAGGGGGAUAACUACUGGAAACGGUAGCUAAUACCGCAUAACGUCGCAAGACCAAAGAGGGGGACCUUCGGGCCUCUUGCCAUCGGAUGUGCCCAGAUGGGAUUAGCUUGUUGGUGGGGUAACGGCUCACCAAGGCGACGAUCCCUAGCUGGUCUGAGAGGAUGACCAGCCACACUGGAACUGAGACACGGUCCAGACUCCUACGGGAGGCAGCAGUGGGGAAUAUUGCACAAUGGGCGCAAGCCUGAUGCAGCCAUGCCGCGUGUAUGAAGAAGGCCUUCGGGUUGUAAAGUACUUUCAGCGGGGAGGAAGGGAGUAAAGUUAAUACCUUUGCUCAUUGACGUUACCCGCAGAAGAAGCACCGGCUAACUCCGUGCCAGCAGCCGCGGUAAUACGGAGGGUGCAAGCGUUAAUCGGAAUUACUGGGCGUAAAGCGCACGCAGGCGGUUUGUUAAGUCAGAUGUGAAAUCCCCGGGCUCAACCUGGGAACUGCAUCUGAUACUGGCAAG